CAUUAAUUCAUAGUCAUUCGAUUCCUUCUUUUACUAUUCGUAACUUAAUUUUGAAAUCAGAAACCCUAAUUUCACUUUCUGGGUUGUGUAGUCAAAAAAGAAGAAGAGAUAUCUCAAUUCUUGGAUCAAACUAGAGAUCGCAGUCUAUUCUGCUGGAAGCUCCUGCAAAUACAUGACGGUUCAUGGUAAAAUCAUGGCUGGGAACAAAACCAAAAAUCAAAAUUUUUUUAAAGAGUCUCGAGAAGAUUGAAGGAGAAGGACACUUCUUUCAAUGGCGACCAAAGUUUAUAUAGUGCGUCGAUUAAGAGUAGGAUGGUCUCAAAUCCAAAUCAGAGGAAUGAAUCGAUGAGUAACAGAAGGAAAGACAGGCCAAGAAGGCGGAGUGUUGGAUCUGAUGAGAGUCAUGCUAGGAUUUAGGAAGAAGAUGAAAAAAGCUCAUAUCCAAAAAGCAGACGAUUCUCCCAUUUAUGCCUUCUUUGAUUGUCGUUGCAAGAGCUACUAAGCGUCUCUAAUGAUUAACUUUGAAACUAGCACAAGAGAUUAGGACAUGUGCUGCUUCUGUUAAUGGUGUCGAUACCAACUCUGGCAGGUACCAGACACGCUCCAAGAAGAUGUGCUCUCUAAAAUUAGUGCACUGCCAAAGAGUGAUGCUCCUCUUAUCACCCCGACGACCUUGCCGAGGCUGAUGGGUUUGUCUUUGGCUUCCCAACAAGGUUUGGUAUGAUGUCUUCUCAGUUGAAGGCAUUCUUGGAUGCAACUGGUGGCCUCUAGAGGACUCAACAACUUGCUGGUAAGCCAGCCGGAAUCUUCUACAGCAUCGGGUCUCAAGGUGGUGGUCAAGAAACCACCGCAUAAGUUUCUUUUCUCAAUCCAAAAGAACACUUCAUUUUGUUGUUGUCAUUGAUUUCGGACAAUUUUUUGGUAAUCUUUGUAAGCAGAAGUGAAAAUUAUCUUUUGAAUUUGAACUAACUCUAUUUUUAUAAAUCUUGAUUUCUCGCCAGUUAAGAGAACAUAAGAACCUUUUUUCAUUU